ensembl:lncRNA
AUAAUCUCUCCACCUAGUCCUGGGCCUACCCUGAGGUCUCCUCCCAGCUGGACGUGCCUGGAACACCUCCUUACCAGAUGCCCGAACCACCUCAACCGGCUCCUUUUCGAUGCAAAGGAGCAGCGGCUCUACUCCGAGUUCCUCACGGAUGGCUGAGCUUCUCACCCUAUCCCUAAGGGAGGAGCCAGCCACCCUUCUGAGAAAACCCACUUGUACUCAUGAUCUUGUUCUUUCGGUCAUGGCCCAGCCUUAAUGACCAUAGGUGAGGGUAGGAUGGAAAAUUGACCGGUAUAUCGAGAGCUUUGCCUUCCUGCUCAGUUCUCUUUUCGUCUCAACGGUGCGGUAAAGCGAAUGCAAUACUGCCCUCGCUGCUCCGAUUCUCCGGCCAAUCUCCCGCUCCAUUGUCCCCUCACUCACGAACAAGACCCCAAGAUACUUGAACUCCUUUACUUGGGUUAACGCCUCAUUCCCUUCCCGGAGGAGGCACUCCAUCGGUUUCCUGCUGAGAACCAUGGACUCUAGAGGUGCUCUAUGGCCUUUAGAGGUGCUAAUCCUCAUUCCAACCACGAACCGGUCCAGUGAGUGCUGAAGGUCAUAGACCGUUGAUGCCAUCAGGACCACAUCAUCCACAAAAAGCAGCGAUGAGAUCCACAGCCAACCAAACUGCAACCCCUCCCCACCCCGACUACGCUUCAAUAUCCUUUCCAAAAGUUACCAACAGGAUUGGUGACAAAGGCCAACCCCCACCUGGAACGAGUCAGACUUACUACAGAGAACCCAAACACAGAUCUCACUUUGGACGUACAGGGAUUGGAUAGCCCUCAGAAGGGACCUCCUCACCCCAUACUCCCACAGCACCUCCCACAGUAUCUCCCGGGGGACCUGGUCAUACUCCUUCAGAUCCACAAAACACAUGUAGACAGGAUGGGCAUAUUCCCAGGCCCCCUCCAUAUUCCCAGUCCCCCUCCAUAUUCCCAGGCCCCCUCCAUAUUCCCAAGCCCCCUCCAUAUUCCCAGGCCCCCUAUUUUGACUUAUCGUUUUUAUUAAUACAUCUUUGUGUUAAAUGUUCAUUUGGACCAAAGCCUCUUCUUUUUUUAAUUGAAUCCUCCUGAGGCCCCUGAAACCAUUGAGGCACGUAGCUAUCCACUUGUGUAUCUUUUUGAACUUUGUCAUUGAGCAAGUGCAAGUAGAGUACAACAAAAUGCAGUAAAAGCCAUGUCCCCUGCGAGGAUGGAACUCACAACAGACCGUUCCAAGACUGCCUGUGCCUACCUAGAGCGCUAAGGAGUCCGUUGCCAGCGCCAAGUGACCAGUAUCCUUUGGAGUCAGCUGCCGAUGAUGCAUCCGUCCCAUAUUGCGUCAUUUACUUGGGCUGUCACGUCUGCUGUUCUGCUAAUUGUUCUGGAAUUGGGAGAAAUGAUGAACUCGACCUUGAAGGUAACACAGAAUUGAGA